ACUGCUUUGUCAAAUAUGUUUUUAAAUUGUUGUGUUGUCAAACUGUUUUGUCAAAGAUGUUUUUAAGUUGUGUUGUCAAAAGGUUUUGUCAAAUAUGUUUUCAAGUUGUUGUGUUGUCAAAAGGUUUUGUCAAAUAUGUUUGCAAGUUGUUGUGUUGUCAACGUGUUUGGUCAGAGAUAUGUUUAGGUUGUUGUGUUGUCAGUGUUUUGUGAAAGAUGUUUUUAAGUUGUUGUGUUGUCAAACUGCUUUGUCAAAUAUGUUUUUAAAUUGUUGUGUUGUCAAACUGUUUUGUCAAAGAUGUUUUUAAGUUGUGUUGUCAAAAGGUUUUGUCAAAUAUGUUUUCAAGUUGUUGUGUUGUCAAAAGGUUUUGUCAAAUAUGUUUGCAAGUUGUUGUGUUGUCAAAGUGUUUGGUCAGAGAUAUGUUUAGGUUGUUGUGUUGUCAGUGUUCUGUGAAAGAUGUUUUUAAGUUGUUGUGUUCUCAAAGAUAGUUUUCAAGUUGUUGUGUUGUCAAAGAUAUUUUGAGGUUGUUGUGUUGUCCAAAGUGUGUUUAUGUGUUACAUAAAUGAUCACCUCUGCCAGGCAGUCCCAUCAUGUGAGAAGGUUGCAAAGUGGAAGUAGGUGAGAGGUCAAAGUCAGGAGUAAGAUGCAGUGUUACUAUUUGAGUGGGCCCCGGGCCCCGGUGUAGUGGUGAAGGUGAUGUUAUGUAGUAGUAAGAUGUCUACCUGAAAGAAAGUCUCUCCCUUCAGCUCGUUGGCGUCUCUCUCUCCAGCACCGAGCCUCUUCAGCGGGUUCUUCUUCAGCAGCUGCGAGGGAACAAAGACAGUUUUGGCGAGUGCGUCCUCGGCCUGAGGCGGCGUGACGGCGUCCACCUUCUGCAUGAUGGCCACGGCGUCCGGAGGCAGCGAGGCGGGAUAGUGGACGUCGUUGUUGACGAUGCUGUCGAACACCUCCUCCUCGUCCUCGCCCAGGAAGGGAGACUGGAGCAGGACGGCGAGGGUCAGAGAGGAAGCCACGCCCCCUUAGUGGCAAACUACCCACCUCGCCCACCAGCAUCUCGUAGAUCAGCACGCCCAUCCCCCACCAGUCCACGGCCCGCGUGUAGUCCUCGUCCGUCAGAACCUCCGGCGCCAGGAACUCCGGCGUCCCGCAGAAGGUGGAGGUCCGGUCCCCGUGAGACAUCCCUGCAGAGAAGCAACGGGGUGAAGUCAGAGUCCGUCCAGGACCAGUUCUGUGCCGGGACCACCUUCUUUACAAAGGCCAAAGUCGGUCAUUUUGACGAAGCCGUCGGCGUCCAUCAGCAGGUUGUCCAGCUUCAGGUCUCUGCGUGGACAAGACCGAGGGUCAGUUGGGGCGCGAGAGAGCCCCCGGUCCUCGUGCCGGACUCACCUGUAGAUGAUCCUGUUGCCGUGCAGGAAGUCCAAGGCCAGCAGCACGCAGGCCGAGUAGAACCUGGGGAAGAAUCGGCAAUCAGAGGACAGACUCGGCUCGGAGACGCCGCGCCCACCUGGUCUGCUCCUGGCUGAAGGCCUGGUUGUGGAUGUGGAUCAUGAGGUCCCCCCCGGGGAGGUAGUCCAUGACGAAGCACACGUGCUCGCUGGUCUGGAAGCAGGCGUGGAGGUGGACCAGGAAGGGAUGGUCGCAGGCGGUGAUCAUCUGGAAGAUCCUCUUCUCGCUCAUCAGGCUGUCCACCUCGUCCCGCGUCACCACCUCACUCUUCUUCAGGGCCUUGACGGCGUAGAGUCCGCCGCUCCUGCGGGACUCGGCCAGCAGCACCUGGACACAACAUUUCCAGGGGAGACUGACAGGAGAAGACGAGAGAGAGGACGCGGUGACGCCGCGGGCUGAGACCACGUCCACGGACGGGAGGCCGCUAACCUUCCCAAAGUGGCCUCGGCCCAGCACCGACACGUAGCGCAGGUCCUCGGCUCGCAUCCUGGACCACACGGAGACAAGAAGGUGACUCCUCGUCUUCUUCGCUCCUGCUGAAGGACGACUGCAGACACAAAUACUUCCUGCUCAUCUUCUUAGCAUGCUAACCUGUAUGCUAGCAUUCAUCUGUGUUGUAGCCCGGAAGAGUAAGGGCUGCAUGGGAUUCUGGGUAUUUGGUCUGUUAAGUUUAUGUUGUAUUACGGUACGGAUGUUCUCCUGAAAGGUGUUUGUCAUUCUUGUUUGGUGUGGGUCCACAGUCUGGCACAUAUUGAUUAACGUGGAUCCCGACUUGAAAAACUUAUUCGGGUGUUAACAUUUAGUGGUCAAUUGUACGGAAUAUGUACGGAUCUGUGCAAUCUACUGAUAAAAGUAUCAAUCAAUCUCAUUAGUAUAAUUGUUGUAAUUGGUGCCAUCUUACCUGAAUGCUAACUGUUUCCAUGUUAGCAUGCUUAAGUAAAAUGUUGUUACUUGCA